AAGGAAAUGAAAAUCAAAAAAGGAAAUAGAAACCGAAUAAGGAAAUGAAAAUGGAAAAAGGAAAUAGAAAACGAAUAAGGAAAUGAAAAUCAAAAAAGGAAAUAGAAACCAAAUAAGGAAAUGAAAAUCGAAAAAGGAAAAAGAAAACGAAUAAGGAAAUGAAAAUCGAAAAAGGAAACAGAAAACGAAUAAGGAAAUGAAAAUUGAAUAAGGAAAAAGAAACCGAAUAAGGAAAUGAAAAUCGAAAUAAGGAAAUAGAAACCGAAUAAGGAAAAAGAAACUGAAUAAGGAAAUGAAAAUCGAAUAAGGAAAAAGAAACCGAAUAAGGAAAUGAAAAUCGAAUAAGGAAAUAGAAACAUAAUAAGGAAAAAGAAACUGAAUAAGGAAAUGAAAACCAAAAAAGGAAAUAGAAACCGAAUAAGGAAAUGAAAAUUGAAAAAGGAAAUAGAAACCGAAUAAGGAAAUGAAAAUUGAAAAAGGGAAAAAGAAACAAAAUAAGG
rnacentral:lncRNA from 1 species